CAAGACAACUUUACGGAGUUGACGAUUGACGGAGCGAAGCGACGUCAAAGCGUUCAUUAAAGUCGAGUUGGCUUAGGGAUACGUUCGUUGGGUAGGGGAGCGUUCUGUAAGCCUGUGAAGGUGUGUCGUGAGGCAUGCUGGAGGUAUCAGAAGUGCGAAUGCUGACAUAAGUAACGAUAAAGCGGGUGAAAAGCCCGCUCGCCGGAAGACCAAGGGUUCCUGUCCAACGUUAAUCGGGGCAGGGUGAGUCGACCCCUAAGGCGAGGCCGAAAGGCGUAGUCGAUGGGAAACGGGUUAAUAUUCCCGUACUUGGUGUUACUGCGAAGGGGGGACGGAGAAGGCUAUGUUGGCCGGGCGACGGUUGUCCCGGUUUAAGCGUGUAGGUGUGUGUUCCAGGUAAAUCCGGUUCACUUUAACACUGAGGCGUGACGACGAGGCACUACGGUGCUGAAGCAACAAAUGCCCUGCUUCCAGGAAAAGCCUCUAAGCAUCAGGUAACACGAAAUCGUACCCCAAACCGACACAGGUGGUCAGGUAGAGAAUACCAAGGCGCUUGAGAGAACUCGGGUGAAGGAAC
rnacentral:rRNA from 1 species